GGGUAUAUAGCCCAGCGGUAGAGUGCAUGCUUAGCAUGCACGAGGUCAUGGGUUCGAUCCCCAGUACUUCCG
rnacentral:tRNA from 1 species